rfam:Stereum hirsutum FP-91666 SS1 unplaced genomic scaffold STEHIscaffold_23, whole genome shotgun sequence.
GCCCUUGUAGUCUACUUGGCAAAACCUUGCGAUUUAUCGUGAGGUCGUGGGUUCAAUUCCCGCCAUGGGUA